GACGAACGCUGGCGGCGUGCCUAAUACAUGCAAGUAGAACGCUGAAGCGAGGAGCUUACUCUUCUUGGAUGAGUUGCGAACGGGUGAGUAACGCGUAGGUAACCUGCCUUGUAGCGGGGGAUAACUAUUGGAAACGAUAGCUAAUACCGCAUAACAAUGGAUGACACAUGUCAUUUAUUUGAAAGGGGCAAUUGCUCCACUACAAGAUGGACCUGCGUUGUAUUAGCUAGUAGGUGAGGUAAUGGCUCACCUAGGCGACGAUACAUAGCCGACCUGAGAGGGUGAUCGGCCACACUGGGACGGAGACACGGCCCAGACUCCUACGGGAGGCAGCAGUAGGGAAUCUUCGGCAAUGGGGGCAACCCUGACCGAGCAACGCGGCGUGAGGGAAGAAGGGUUUCGGAUCGUAAAGCUCUGUUGUAAGUCAAGAACGGGUGUGAGAGUGGAAAGUUCACACUGUGACGGUAGCUUACCAGAAAGGGACGGCUAACUACGUG
rnacentral:rRNA from 1 species